UAUCAUGUAGUGCAUUUGGUUUAUGUAAUGCCAACAUAAGAAUUAAUAGCUUCUAUUUGAGAAAUUGUUAACUUUGAAAUUAGAAUGACAUUUAACAAGCAAUUAAAAUGUGGCAUGCUACUUUUCAAACUCUAUUUGAUGUGGUUUUGUUGGAAAAAAAAUAGUGUGCUUUUAGUGUUUUUUGUGUGUGAUAUAUAAAAAUUGGUGUGUAUAUGGAAACUUGGCAAAGGUCUAGUCCUCUGAUAUUUGAUUGCUAUAAUAAUCCCACAAACUUUUUCAAAUGUGAGAUCUCAGUUUAUCAGAUGCUCUAGAAUGUGCUGCCUUGUGGUGUUGUAUUUUCCUAUGACUGCAUUGUUCUUAUUCUUUACCAUAUUGACUAAGCAAUAUUAACUAAACAAUAUUAAUAUUCAAUGUUUAAUACAGGCCCUCUCUUGGCUUUCUUAUAGGCUUUCUAGGUUUGAUAGUUUUUGGAAAUGGUGUUAUGUGAUUCAGCAAUUAAAUUCUAAGAUUUUUUUUUUUUUUAUCCUGUGCGUAGGUAACGAUUUAAUCUGGAGGAAAGCAUGUGAAGCAGUUCAAGGUGUAGCUGGUGUUUUUGAUGCAUGAGGGAAUGGUACUAGCAGAAUUCAUGUUGAUUAGCCCCCAUGAUGCUGACCUUCAGCAACAACUCCACACCUGAGCCCUUGGUCAGAGCUGUGCCACAGCUAUGCCCAUAAGUGGGUACAUAUUUUCCACAAACACCACUUUUAAACAACCUUAAUCAAAAACAGUGGGUACAGGUGGUCUUUAAACAAACUGGUAUUGGUGGUUUUACUCAAUAUACACUGGUACUAGUCCUCUUUAAACAAAACUGAGAAAGUUGGUGGAUCGCUCGCCGUAAUGCUAAUUACAAACAGGUACUGGUGCAUGUUCAACAACACUGACUAUGCAACUGGUACAGAUUUUUUAACAUUCCUGUGGGGAAAACACAUGCAAACACACACAGGUGACCUUUAUAGACCACUCCAAUUGGAAGAGAAUGCUGAAAAACACUGGUACAGGGGCUUUUUUCCUCCUUUUUACCCCACUAUGCAGGUGAUCUUGACACACCCAUGCAAAAAAUGAGCCUAUACUGGUAUUUGUAAACUGAUCUAAACACAGCUGCUCCAGGUGAUCUUUAUAUACAUGUUCAAACCCACACUGGCCCAGGUGAGCUUGAUAAUCACCUGUGACUGAAGACGAAUGAAGAGCAUGGAGGCAGGUGUCUAGGUUUGUCACAGUACCUCAGUCUCCGGUAACACGCACACCGGUGAAGCAGGACGUUCUGGUACGUGACAAGACGAGGUCCUCACCUGCCAUCUUGGAGUUCAUGUCCAUGGACCCGCCCAUCUUCCGCUCAGUAAACAGAUUAUCCUGGUCGGGGUCGCAGUGGAUCCCAGGAACACACGCAUUCGCGCUCAUUCACGUCUAGGAGUAAUCUAGUCGCUGAUCCACAUGAAUGCCCUUGGAAAGGGAAAGGAAACUGGAAAACCCCGCUGGAGGGAACCCACAGCAAUAAAUGGAGAACAGGUGAAAGUCAAACACUACCUGCCCCCCCCCCCCCCCCCACACACUAUUAAUCAUAUCUUUCUAAAUUAUUUAAAGGUUUCUACACCUCAUUCCGGAGCCAGAAAACUAGUUUUGAUGUAACGUUGCUGGAGACCGAAGAGGUUUAAAAAAAAAAAAAAAAAUCCAGUGCAUGAAAUCAAGCUAAUUAAAGAGGACCUUUACAUGUAGUGUGGUUUUAGAUCAUGUCUCACGGAAAUCCCCAGAGAUCAGUCGUCUUAUGCAGGUAACUAGUUUCUGUUUUCACGUGUACAAACAUUCACUGUGGUCAUAUGACAUGACAAUGAGGAAAAAAAAAUUUUUUGGUAUGUCCUAAUGACAGUGCAGAAAUUCUAUAGAAAGAACCUUAAAUUAUUGUUGCCUGAUGAAAUCUCACAAUGAGGAACUAAAAAUACUGUGGCUCACCAUUGGGGUGGGGGGGACUGCUAUGAACACUGCACUAAAAACCAACUGCUAUUUUAAAACUUGAGUGGGAAAUACAGAAUACACGAACAAAGCAGAAGGAGUGACGUGUAUGUGGAUCAGAGUGAUGUGUGAAUGUAUAUUUUAUGAAUAUGUAAUAGAAUUCAGCAGUAGAGAUUACAUGGGAAAGAGGGGGAGGACAAAACGUAAAGACAAACCUUUCUUUCUCCUGCGGAGAAUCAGCAAGGCCAAGACUAAACCCACACACAUCACGAUUAUCACGGCAAUAGCUGCGUAUCCUGUGGUCAAUUUACUGUUCUCUGGAAUUUCAUCUGCAGAACAACAACAAAAAAAGCAGUCCUGACUUAACCACAAUGAUUACUACAUAAAUCUCUACCUGGUUAUUGAGUAAUUAACUGAGGGAUGUUAUUUUAAAUCGGUGUACAAGUACAGAAGCUUUAGUUUUAGGGUUUAUUAGGUAUUACUAGAUAUUAGCUAGAAAUCAUUAAUGUGCUAGCAUGGCUGGACGAAUCAGUCCAUGAGUGUGAUGCAGCUUGACCCUAUGGCAUGCUACUCGUUCUAAAUCCCACCGCCUGCUGCGCUACAAACAUCGACUUUUGCUAGUUAGAUUAAUUAGCAUGAAGACGGAUGGGCAUUUUAGAAUUUGGAACACACAGGUAUGCAGAGUAAAAAAAGGGUCAUACAGUAACUCUCAUGCUAGGACAAUAAAAUAGACACUAGCCAGACUCAAAAAUCUUUUUUACGUCUGAACCUUGGCCAAUGACUUGCUGAAUUUUCGAAGAAGGCGCAAAUACAUGGUUCAUACUUCAGACACUUCCUUAGAAAGGGAUAAUGACUAUAAGCAAGAUGCCGUUCUGCAGGAAUUUCUAUAUUCAUUUGUGUCUGUAUUAAUGGACUAAACUAGCUAAUUAGUGCGACAUAAUUUAUUAUGUUUUAGCCUAGGUGAUCAGGUUUCUUGGCAACUAAAUUGUGCAGCAUCCUGUGAAAUUUUUUAUUAUUAUUAUUUUUAUUUUUUUCCAGAACCCGGUAUUUCAUUUCAUUUCCCUUUCGAUUCUUGUACUAACUUGCCUUUGUUAGCAUAGGUACCAGCUUAUAUGAGCUCGACUGACAUUCCUUUAUGCUUGCAGUUAUUUGUGAUUUUAGCCAAUGAUUAUGAUAGAUAUGUAAUCUGAUGGAAGCUAUAAUCCAUUCGGAAUGUAUGACUAGUGGAAAAUCAGAUUUUCCUAUUAAUGCUGAAAUUCUGCCAGAGAUAAGACCUGGCAGUGAUUGAGUUAUUUUGUGAGUAACUUGAGUCAUAAAUAGUAAGUCUGAAACAAGUCAUAAGCAUUGAAAAAUGUGAGGCAGGUUAUCGGUUGUAGUUGUGUACUUGGUGACUCAUAAAUCUCAUGGUCAUAAACCCGAUGCCAUGUUUCAUAGUUCAUGACAGUAACAUUACAGUGCACUGGAAAUCUAGAGUACAGCACUGUAUGUAAUGCUUAUUUUAUACAAUAAUGCUGUCCCAUUUUGUUGAAAAGUGCCAGAAAUUCUGAAGUUGACUGUUUAUAUUGGUUACUGAAUGGGUUCCAUACUAAUUGUUCUUUGCAGAUCAAGUGCAUUAUGGGUAUUCAGUAUAGCAGUGCAUUGUGGGAUUUCAUGAGCACACUAGAUAGCCUUCACUAUACUUGUGUACAUAGGUACAACAUGGCAAAACUGUGGCGUCGUGUGGUUUAAACCACCAUUUUUAUGAUGAUUUAGAACCGAUUACUGGUUGCUUCUCUUCCUGGUGGUUUUGGUGUGGUUUUGCCAGCUUACAGAACUUGAAGUUCCAGUUAAAUUCGCAAAUAAAAGUUCAGAGGAAAUACUCAUUUUCGUUCAAGUGAGUGAGUGAUUGAUUUUUGAUCUAGACUUGCUGCAUAUACUGUUUAAUCAUUCAUGCAGACACACUAUACAGUUACAGUGUGGUGAAAAAACUUAAAGUAUAAUCUUCCAAAGUCAUUUACCAUGUUCUGUGCUCACGUGUAAUGUUACAACAUAUUUGCAUGAAUAGUUUAAAAAAAAUAAUAAAGAAAGAAAAUAAAAUCGGUUUAAUGCUCACAGAAGACUGUGGUCCUGUGUUGACGUGCAUAAAACAACUGCAUACCCAUGUUUAAUACUAGUGAAAUGCUUCUCACCUUUUUGUGUGUGUAUGUGCUUCUUUUUUUUAAAUCAACACUUAAGGUGAAGGCCCACUGUGAUCAAAUAACAUCCCACACAACUAACCUCACAACCACUGUGGUCUAGCACGUUGGCGUGUAUAUUUGUACAUCCAUGUUGCUUGGAAAUACACAUUAGUCAUGAAUGAAUCCGGAACCAUCCUCAGUGGCUGAGCACAGUUUCUAUAAUAAGGAUAUUCGUUACCAGAAGAAAAUUGCCAAGAAUUAAGACAAUCCCAUCGAAUUCAAACUUUCAAGAGGGGGCGAAUGAAGGAGCUUUGUAACUGUGGAUUAUUGACGCCACUCUUUUAGCAUCCAACUCAAGCGGCUUAAUGGCACUGGAAACAAACCAAAACACUCAAAACAUGUCAACUCAAACCACUCAAGAGCGUAACUCAAACCAAGCCACUCAAAAGCAUGUAUCAAACCAAAAACCACCCAAAAGAGCGUAACUCGAACCAAGCCACUCAAAAGAGCGUAACUCGAACCAAGCCACUCAAAAGAGCGUAACUCAAACCAAGCCACUCAAAAGGGCGUAACUCAAACCAAGCCACUCAAAAGGGCGUAACUCAAACCAAGCCACUCAAAAGGGCGUAACUCAAACCAAACCACUCAAGAGCGUAACUCAAACCAAAGCACUCAAUACGCUUUAACUCAAUCCAAUUGACGACACUUAACUUAAACGGCUCAAUAGCACUCAAAUCAAACUCUAACUCUGCAUGGCUGCAGACCUUGGUAGUGAGUCAGUAGAAUUUAAGAACACAAACUGCAGUGAAAAAAAAAAAAGAAAAAAAAAAAAAGAACUGCUAAUUAAGUACUCAU